UAUAAAUUGCAUUUAUUGAAAUUUUAAAAACCAACUAGCGAUUUAAUGAAAAUACAAUCCAAAAUACAUAAAAAUAAAAUAUAAAUAGAAAACUUUUAAAAGAGGAAAAUCAUCUUACAGUAUACUUUUUAUUUUUAAUAAAACAUAGACUAAUAAAACAAAAGCAAGAAUUCACAGAGAUUUAUUUUACUUCUUUGUCAUCAACAUCAAGUUUACAGAAAUUUAAAAAAAUGAUAAAAA
rnacentral:lncRNA from 1 species